CCUACGGGAGGCUGCAGUGAGGAAUAUUGGUCAAUGGACGGAAGUCUGAACCAGCCAUGCCGCGUGCAGGAAGACGGCUCUAUGAGUUGUAAACUGCGUUUGUACAAGGGUAAACCUGAAUACGUGUAUUCAGCUGAAAGGACUGUACGAAUAAGGAUCGGCUAACUCCGUGCCAGCAGCCGCGGUAAUACGGAGGAUCCAAGCGUUAUCCGGAUUUAUGGGGUGUAAAGGGUGCGUAGGCGGAUUGCUAAGUUAGAGGUGAAAUGUCCGAGCUUAACUCGGGAACUGCCUCUCUUACUGUUGUUCUAGAUCGUAGCUGCGGUAGGCGGACUGUCUGGUGUAGCGG
rnacentral:rRNA from 1 species